AUUGAACGCUGGCGGCAGGCCUAACACAUGCAAGUCGAACGAGGGGCGGACGUGUGAGUAAUGUCUGGGAAACUGCCUGAUGGGGGGGGAUAUCUACUGGAAACGGUCGCUAAUUCCGCCUACCAUCGGAUGUGCCCAGAUGGGAUUAGCUAGGUGGUGGGGUAACGGCUCACCAAGGCGACGGUCCCUAGCUGGUCUCAGAGGAUGACCAGCCACACUGGAACUGAGACACGGUCCAGACUCCGACGGGAGGCAGCAGUGGGGAAUAUUGCACAAUGGGCGCAAGCCUGAUGCAGCCAUGCAGCGUGUAUGAAGAAGGCCUUCGGGUUGUAAAGUACUUUCAGCGGGGAGGCGUUACCCGCAGAAGAAGCACCGGCUAACUCCGUGCCAGCAGCCGCGGUAAUUC
rnacentral:rRNA from 1 species